GCCUACGGGAGGCAGCAGUGGGGAAUUUUGGACAAUGGGGGCAACCCUGAUCCAGCCAUUCCGCGUGAGUGAAGAAGGCCUUCGGGUUGUAAAGCUCUUUCGGCAGGAACGAAACGGCGGGCUCUAACAUAGCCUGUUAAUGACGGUACCUGAAGAAGAAGCACCGGCUAACUACGUGCCAGCAGCCGCGGUAAUACGUAGGGUGCGAGCGUUAAUCGGAAUUACUGGGCGUAAAGCGUGCGCAGGCGGAUUGUUAAGCAAGACGUGAAAUCCCCGGGCUUAACCUGGGAAUGGCGUUUUGAACUGGCAGUCUAGAGUGCGUCAGAGGGGGGUGGAAUUCCACGUGUAGCAGUGAAAUGCGUAGAGAUGUGGAGGAACACCGAUGGCGAAGGCAGCCCCCUGGGAUGACACUGACGCUCAUGUACGAAAGCGUGGGUAGCAAACAGGAUUAGAUACCCUGGUAGUC
rnacentral:rRNA from 1 species